UGGAAGGCUAAGCAGGGAAUCACACCAGCAAAAAAUCUAAUGGUAUAAUGAAUGUUAAGCAAACACAUAUGACUCUAAGUCUACAAACAAAUUGAGACUCAUCCACUAUCUUGUAGGAGGAGACCUGGUAUGUCUGGCUGCCUCCAGAACAUGAGUGGCACUGCUGAAUACAAAAAUUCUAACCACCAAUGUAAUUUCUUACUUCACUUUAUAUUUCACUGAAAGCUCUUCACAGAACUAAAGAUUAUUCGUCAUAUUACUCUAUGAUGUUCAUUUCACUUACAACAUAUAGACUACACAUUCUGGGACUUUGGACUGAGAAUAUGGAAUAUAUGUUUAAACUGAAAAACGAAAACCUCCCCUACCACCUAUCUGCAGGCCAAUCAAAGAAGUACCACAGAUAUCAAUAGGACUGUGGACAUUACUAUGCACUGGAUUGCAAGUCAUUAAAGAACUAUGAACCAUAGAAAACAGUUGACAGUUAAAAGAUCUACCUGCUCCUGGAAUCAAAGGUUCGAGGUUUGUUUGUUUUUUAAUGCAUCUAAGUCUUUAAAAGUUAAGAUGCUACAGAGGCUAGAAAAAUAUAUUGCAUAGUUUCAAAAUCAUAGAACAAUUACCUAUUGG